AGCAGCCGCGGUAAUUCCAGCUCCAAUAGCGUAUAUUAAAGUUGUUGCAGUUAAAAAGCUCGUAGUUGAAUUUCGGGGUUAGUAGGUUGGUCAUGCCUCUGGUAUGUACUGGUCUCACUGAUUCCUCCUUCCUGAUGAGCCGUAAUGCCAUUAAUUUGGUGUUGCGGGGAAUUUGGACUGUUACUUUGAAAAAAUUAGAGUGUUUAAAGCAAGCUAACGCUUGAAUACAUUAGCAUGGAAUAACGAAAUAGGACGUUUGAUUUUAUUUUGUUGGUUUCUAGGAUCGACGUAAUGAUUAAUAGGGAUAGUUGGGGGCAUUAGUAUUCAAUUGUCAGAGGUGAAAUUCUUGGAUUUAUUGAAGACUAACUACUGCGAAAGCAUUUGCCAAGGAUGUUUUCAUUAAUCAAGAACGAAAGUUAGGGGAUCGAAGACGGUCAGAUACCGUCGUAGUCUUAACCAUAAACUAUGCCGACUAGGGAUCGGAUGAUGUUAAUUUUUUAAUGUACUCAUUCGGCGCCUC
rnacentral:rRNA from 1 species